UUUCCGUAGGUGAACCUGCGGAAGGAUCAUUACCGAGUUUAAGGAUCUUCGGAUCCAACUCCCACCCUUUGUCUAUCUGUAGUCUUCGGCAAGACGACUUGUCUCAAGCCACUGGCGUCAUGCGAGUGUGUGCUUGCCGAAGUUUCAAACUCUAUUUUGACGUCUGAUUACAAAGAAAAUAAACAAAACUUUCAACAACGGAUCUCUUGGUUCUGGCAUCGAUGAAGAACGCAGC
rnacentral:misc_RNA from 1 species